rnacentral:rRNA from 1 species
ACUCAAAUGAAUUGACGGGGGCCCGCACAAGCGGUGGAGUAUGUGGUUUAAUUCGAUGCAACGCGAAGAACCUUACCAGGGCUUGACAUCUGAGGAACCUGCCUGAAAGGGGAGGGUGCUCUUCGGAGAGCCUCAAGACAGGUGGUGCAUGGCUGUCGUCAGCUCGUGUCGUGAGAUGUUGGAUUAAGUUCCGCAACGAGCGCAACCCUCGUCGUAUGUUGCCAGCACAUCAUGGUGGGCACUCAUGCGAGACUGCUGCAGCAAUGUGGAGGAAGGUGGGGAUGACGUCAAGUCAGCAUGCCCCGUACGCCCUGGGCUACACACAUACUACAAUGCCAGGGGCAAACCGUUGCGAACCCGUGAGGGGGAGCUAAUCGGAAAAUACCUGGCUCAGUGCGGAUUGUAGGCUGCAACUCGCCUACAUGAAGUCGGAAUCGCUAGUAACCGUCGGUCAGCAUUACGACGGUGAAUACGUUCCCGGGCCUUGUACACACCGCCCGU